ACCCUAACCUAGCACUCCCUCUCACUCUCCUGUCUCUUUAUCUCUUCCGCCUCCUACGUCGUCGCCUCUGGUGGCGCAACCGGCGACCACCACUGCCGCCGCCACCACCUCCUCUCUCACCGUCCUCUCUCUCUGCGCCUAUUAUCUUCACCGAUCUUCACUGGUCGUCUACUUCGUCUUCUCCACUCUCGUCAUCGGUUCCAAAACCCUAACCCUACAUUCGAUGUUCUCCAAUUCCUCUACAAGCCAUAUGUUCAAAUCCAGACCCUACACUCCCCUCAACUGUUUCAGAACCCUUGUCUACAAAGGACUACCACCGGACUCGUCAGAAUGGCGAUCUCGAACGGGCUGAUUACGAUGAGAAAAAUCAGGCGGCGGGGCGCAUUAAUGCCUCAGAAACAAAAUUGCAGGAUGGACAGUUCAUCUUUGCCCUAAUUUUUCUCUCCAUUUUAUGUGGUGCAUUUAGGUUCACUGGCAAGAAACUCUAUGAGGCUAUGUCGCAGGAGUAUUAACAACUCAAAGAGUUCUAAUUGUUUCAGCAGAUCUAGAUAUAUUGGCUAGCAGUUCUACAAAAUUUGAUAAGGAACUUCCUUUAAUAUCCUUAGAUGGAAAACUUAUUUCAUAUUGGCUACUUUUCUGAUAGUUACACUUUUUGUUAUAUGACAUGGUUAAUAGUUAUUAAAAUUGUUUGGGUCUCUAACCUAUGAUUACUUUAGAUCACUUCUCUGGGUUGGACCUGCACUUCUAUUUUCAACUGCCACUGCAAUCAGCGUGCUUGGGUGGGAUGGAAAAGUGAGGACAAUUCUUUCUAUUAGGAUGCCCAAUGCAGCUUUGUACUAUACCACUGCUUUUCUGAGCCAUCAAGAUGAACUUCUGUACAGUGCUGUUUGGUGCAUUGAAUGAUCGAUUGUUGCUUGCAAACCUAACAAAGAUAAAUCUGAAACAGAAAAGGGGGUUUAGAUAAAGAGCUGUCUUGUUGGGCUUCUCGAACCUCUUCUUAUUGGAUUUGCCACAAUGUAACAGAGUUUUGAGCAGAAACUAGACUUGUCAGAAAUAUUGUAUCAAAUAACAUCCAGGUUUUCCUUUCCCCUACUAGUAGGCAUGUGUUUUGUCACAUAUACAACUCCUUUGGAUAUUCAACACUUGUUGGAUUCUGUUAUCCUUUUCAUUUCUAUUGUUUGGCUUAUAAAGAUUAUUUAAAAAGCACUAUCAAUGUAGAUUAUUUCAUUAAGAAGCAUCCAGUAAACUAAAAGAAAAUUAACAUAGGAAAGGCAGCUUAGAACAGAAUUCAAAAUUGAUGUGUUCACUUGGGUUUGUUUCUGGAAAUUCUUCUGCCAUUUCUAUCUGAAAGUAGAGUCUUGCUGUAUUCUUUAUUUAUUUGUUUUUCUUUUUGGGUCUUUGUGUGUGUGUGUGAGAGAGAGAGAGAGAGAGAGAGAGUUUUGCUCUGCCUUUUCUAGCAUUUUGUGCUCUGCAUGGCUGCACUGUGGUCUCUGUGAACAUCUCUUGGUCAUUUUGGUUGUGUUUUAGCUCUCUUAAUACCCAGCUAGCUUUGUUUUGGGUCUGUGACAUCUAAUGUUGUAGACUCUUGGCGUAUUUUUUGUGUAACCUUUUUCUAUUUUAGCCUCUGAGACAUUACUUCUGGAAUUCCUUUUUUCCCUUAAUUUGUGCAGUAGCCUAGGAUUAGAAACACUCAGGAUUAUGCAAAAUCUCACACACAUUAUAGGUUUUUCCUUUAAUUUGUGCAGUAGCAUAUGAUAGCAUGCUCAAAGUACUGAUUGAUAUAUUACACAUUUUUAUGUGCUUGGGAAUUAGUCAAUAUGAGUGGAGUAGUGGUGCUAGUUAAUGAGGUUUAAACUAACUUGUACAAGUAUUGCAAGUUCAUUUCAUAGUUACAGAACUAUGUGACACAUGCUUGAAGUACUGAUAUAUUGCACAUUUUAUGUGCUUGACAUUAAGUCAAUAUAAAUAGAGUUGUGGCCUGUGAGUGCUAUUCAUGGAUGAUAGGGAUUUGAAUAGCCUGAUGAUGUAUCACUUUCUUUUCUUUUUGCUAGUGUAAAACAUAGGUUACCAGCUCCUCAUUCAUGUCAUAUUUUGCGUAAUAUGGCUUACUGUAAUAAUAAGUGUGUUAAUGUGAUAGGAUUAGAAACACUCAGGUUUAAAUCAUACAGGUCCAUGGCCUAGUCAAUUCGUGAUCUUCAAGAUGUAACAGGAAGUAUAGUUUCAUGGCCUAGUUAAUUCAUUCUUUUAGACUAAAUAUUAGACUAAUUGAUUUACGAUUUGUAGUUAUACUUUUUGGAUGUUUAAAGUCGUAUUUUAGAGAUUAGUGAAUCUUAUAAUUUGGGUACUUUUUUUGGUUUGUAUGUUUGAGGUUGUUAUGAGCUUGAUAUGAUAGAAGUUGAGGAUGAAAGUUAAUAUGCAGGUUGUUUGGUGUAUGGAUAUUUGAUUUUUUUGCUUAUUUUAUAGUUAGUUUAUUCAUAUGCUUUUAGUGGUUUCUGAAUUAAUUUUUAUUUUUAUU